rnacentral:rRNA from 1 species
AGGAUUCCCCUAGUAACGGCGAGUGAAGCGGGAAAAGCUCAAAUUUGAAAUCUGGCGGUCUACGGCCGUCCGAGUUGUAGUCUAGAGAGGUGUCUUCUGCGUCGGACCAUGCACAAGUCCCUUGGAACAGGGCGUCAUAGAGGGUGAGAAUCCCGUCCGUGGCAUGGACUCCCGGUGCUUUGUGAUGCGCCUUCGAAGAGUCGAGUUGUUUGGGAAUGCAGCUCAAAAUGGGUGGUAAAUUCCAUCUAANGCUAAAUACAGGCGAGAGACCGAUAGCGAACAAGUACCGUGAGGGAAAGAUGAAAAGCACUUUGGAAAGAGAGUUAAACAGUACGUGAAAUUGUUGAAAGGGAAACGCUUGGAGUCAGUCGCGUUUGCCGGGACUCAGCCUUGCUUCUGCUUGGUGCACUUCCUGGUACACGGGCCAGCAUCGAUUUUGAUCGCCGGAAAAAGGCUUGGGGAAGGUGGCACCUUCGGGUGUGUUAUAGCCCCUUGUUGUAUACGGUGGUUGGGAUUGAGGACCGCAGCACGCCUUUUGGUCGGGGUUCGCCCACGCCACGUGCUUAGGAUGCUGGCGUAAUGGCUUUAAACGACCCGUCUUGAAACACGGACCAAGGAGUCUAACAUGCCUGCGAGUGUUUGGGUGUAAAACCCAGGCGCGUAAUGAAAGUGAAAGGUUGGGACUCUUCGCUGAGGCACCGACGCCCGAUCCUGACGUUCUCUGACGGAUUUGAGGUAGAGCAUGUAUGUUGGGACCCGAAAGAUGGUGAACUAUGCCUGAAUAGGGCGAAGCCAGAGGAAACUCUGGUGGAGGCUCGUA